GCCAGUGUGUAGCACAGUGGUUAAGGAGUGGGACUUGUAACCAAAAGGUUGCCGGUUCGAUUCCUCACGGGCA